GCUUUUUGAGGAUCGUUACUAAUAAUGGAAGAGGCUUCACAUGAUGGCACGUAGGAGAAGCUAAAGUUGCCACCCCUGGUUGUCUAUUCAUGGACUCUGGGUUCCGUGGGAGCACACAGGAGGCGCAUCUCGGCCGUCCCGAGCAUUUUUAUUCAAUUAAUUUACUUUUCUUCUCUUUCCUCCCCCAUGAGGUUUGAGCUUAUGGCACAUUCUUUGCUGCCUUUUCGUAACCAUUUGCUAUGUUUGGGUUGUGGAGCCCCCGCUCUCUGGAACCUCGGUGUCGAGAUCCUUUCAAUGGCCAUGUUCGCUGCAUGUGCUGAGCUCAUUGGGUGCGCUGCUCCCUGGUGUGCUCACGAUCAGGAGCGGCAUGGUAUUGCGUGGAGAACAGGCGGACCCCGCUUCGCAGCCUGCCGCAACCUGCAAGUACGAUGGGGGAUAUUCUUGCAUCAAUUCUUGAGGGGGAGCGGUGGAAACCGAAAAGUAAAAUCACAGAUCACAAGGGACUACCCGAUUGGCCAAACGCGGUUCCAGUAAAAGCAGCAAACUCUUUGUUCCACCGCCUUUCGCUUUUACUGCGACCUUAAUUCAAUGGGAAAGAGCGCAAACCUCCCUAAACCCGUAAACCCUGAACAUGGUUGAAACAAUUGAAUUGAGAAAAGCAGUCUUUCUUUGUCAUGGAAUUGAUACACUUGUUCACAUGCUUCUGAAGAUUGGAGGGGAAGGGGUGAGUUUUUUUAAAAGGUCAUUUAUAGAAUUAAAUAUUUUAUGUUCAAAACAAUGAAAAUGUUGAGUGUAUUUUGAUGACCACAACUCUAGCAUUGAACUUGUCUAUAGUGAAAAAGGUUAAAUUUUAUUUGUGAUGCGAAGGUGUAUUAUAUGGUUUUGAUACUUUUUAGAAAAGAGUCUUAAUUCUUACUUUUGAUUCAAAUCUUGUAAAGUAUGCAUCCCUGUAGAAACACAAUACAAAUCAAUGAUUUUGAAAGUCUUCAUACAAGAUUAAGUGAUUUUAAUGUUACUAUUUUAUUUUAUUUUAUUUUUUUCCAAAUAAAAUAAAAUCUUACAAACAGUAGUAUUGAGUUGAGAUAUUUUAUGAUGUCAUUGAUGCACAUUUACACUUGUGCAAUUAAUGACAAUACUUAAAAAUUACAAAAAAUGCUAAAAGAAUAAAGAAACUUUCAUAUUAUUUUCUAAAGUAAUAGGUAAAUGUGAAGUUAUAAAUAUUGAUUUUGCACAUGUUGUAUUUAUAAAACAAUAAAUUAUAAAUAAAUAUAUGUACUCUUUAAACAAAUGAAAGUGAAUUAUUUUUUGGGAAAAUUACGAAAAUUUCCCUUCAAAAUAUCUGAAAUUAAUCAUGUUACUCUUCAAUGUCACAUAGGUUAUAUUUAUUAUGACUAUGUGCUAUAAUGCAAUUUUUUUUAGUAUCUGAAUUCAAAAAUACAUUCAACAGACUCAUAUCAUUUGUCCAUCAAUUGAUCUGUUUGGAUUCUACAUUAUGUGAGCCUUUUUUUUUUUUUUUUUUUUUUUUUUUUCCCUUCUAUGCUGAAAGAAUAAUUAAGUACUAAUCUAAACAAACAAAUGAAGAGUGAUGUGUGAACUCCCAAAGUGUGGACAAUUUUUUUGUAAAUGAGAACAAGUAACUUGGAAGUAGUAAUGAAUUUUGUUAUUUUUUAUUGAUAUUAUCAUUACCUUAGUAUUUUUAUUCUUUUGAUUCCCAAGAGGGAAUUAAAUAGGGUUCCCGCUCUUCCCAACUUGAAUUGGGUGCUUUCAUUGUGUUUUUUUCCCUCCUUUGCCGUUUAUAACCAUUGUCUGCACAGGAAGGAGUUUGCUCCCAUCUUUUUCUUUUCGUUUAAUUUUUCUUUGUAUCUAUCUAUCUAUAUCUGUAUAUAUAUAUAUAUAUAUAUAUAUAUAUAUUAGAGGGCAUGCUUGCUGUCUCACCACAAAAUGAGAAAAUAUCAUGGUUUCCCUAGUCCAGUCAUCAAUUUUCAAGUUGGAUGCAUUUCCACUGGCAUCCAAUUAUAAUUCAGUCUUUCAAAAAGAUUUCAUGCAUUUACACUCCAGUUAAUAUUACGUUACUUAAAAUAAAAUUAAACAGUAUAAUUCUACUUGAUGAGAGACACAUGUUCAUAUCAUUUGUGUUCUCUCUUCAUUGUGUUGUCACCCACCAUGUGAAUUAUUUUUCUUUUCAUGGCAUCCGUAUAUAAAUAUGUAAACACACCCACACACACACACACAUGAAUGAGGAGUGCAAAAUACUAACAUGGGGAGUGCAAAAUUAUGUCCACUCCACCCUCUCUUGGCAAAAAAGCUUCACCAUUUGUCAUAUAUAUAUAUAUAUAUUUUUUUUUCCAAACUGCACUGAC
rnacentral:lncRNA from 1 species